CAUCUGAUCUUCGGAGGCCAACAGCUGGAGGACGAUGCUCGGCUGGUUUCAUAUGGAAUCCAUCAUGAGGCAACCAUUGAGUUAAUUCUAAAUGUCAGGGUCAUCGUGAAAGAUUUGACUGGGAAGACCAUAAAGUUCGACCUG